ACGUAGGGAGCGAGCGUUAUCCGGAUUCAUUGGGCGUAAAGCGCGCGUAGGCGGCCCGUUAAGUCAGGUGUCAAAUCCGGAGGCUCAACCUCCGUCCGCACCUGAAACUGGCGGGCUCGAGUUCGGUAGAGGAAGAUGGAAUUCCCAGUGUAGCGGUGAAAUGCGCAGAUAUUGGGAGGAACACCAAUGGCGAAGGCAGUCUUCUGGGCCGUUAACUGACGCUGAGGCGCGAAAGCUGGGGGAGCGAACAG
rnacentral:rRNA from 1 species